CAGGAGCGGAAGGCAGCAGCGCUCGCAACGC
rnacentral:SRP_RNA from 1 species